rnacentral:rRNA from 1 species
ACGAACGCUGGCGGCGUGCUUAACACAUGCAAGUCGAACGGAAAGGCCCCUUUGGGGGUACUCGAGUGGCGAACGGGUGAGUAACACGUGAGUAACCUGCCCUUGACUUCGGGAUAACUUCAGGAAACUGGGGCUAAUACCGGAUAGGAAUCCUUGCUGCAUGGUGGGGGUUGGAAAGCUUCGGCGGUUUUGGAUGGACUCGCGGCUUAUCAGCUUGUUGGUGGGGUAGUGGCUUACCAAGGCUUUGACGGGUAGCCGGCCUGAGAGGGCGACCGGCCACAUUGGGACUGAGAUACGGCCCAGACUCCUACGGGAGGCGGCAGUGGGGAAUAUUGCACAAUGGGCGGAAGCCUGAUGCAGCAACGCCGCGUGCGGGAUGACGGCCUUCGGGUUGUAAACCGCUUUCAGCAGGGGCGAAGCUUGUGGUGACGGUACCUGCAGAAGAAGCACCGGCUAACUACGUG